CAUCCGUGUUGGGGGUGGCCGGGCCGGCCUGAGAUCAUACCCUUUGAACCUGAACUGGUUAAUUCCAGCGUAGGGAAACGACACGCGCAAACA
rnacentral:ncRNA from 2 species